GACGAACGCUGGCGGCAUGCCUAAUACAUGCAAGUCGAGCGAACAGAUGAAGUGCUUGCACUUCUGACGUUGGCGGCGAACGGGUGAGUAACACGUAAGGAAUCUACCUAUAAGCGGGGGAUAACAUUCGGAAACGGGUGCUAAUACCGCAUAAUAUCUUCUUCCGCAUGGAAGAAGAUUGAAAGACGGCUCUGCUGUCACUUAUAGAUGACCUUGCGGUGCAUUAGUUAGUUGGUGGGGUAACGGCCUACCAAGACGAUGAUGCAUAGCCGACCUGGGAGGGUGGUCGGCCACAUUGGGACUGAGACACGGCCCAAACUCCUACGGGAGGCAGCAGUAGGGAAUCUUCCGCAAUGGGCGAAAGCCUGACGGAGCAAUGCCGCGUGAGUGAAGAAGGCCUUCGGGUCGUAAAACUCUGCUAUAAGAGAAGAACAAAUUGUAGAGUAACUGCUACAGUCUUGACGGUAUCUUAUCAGAAAGCCACGGCUAACUACGUGCCAGCCGCCGCCGUAA
rnacentral:rRNA from 1 species